rnacentral:rRNA from 1 species
GAUGAACGCUGGCGGCGUGCCUAAUACAUGCAAGUCGAGCGAACGGACGAGAAGCUUGCUUCUCUGAUGUUAGCGGCGGACGGGUGAGUAACACGUGGAUAACCUACCUAUAAGACUGGGAUAACUUCGGGAAACCGGAGCUAAUACCGGAUAAUAUUUUGAACCGCAUGGUUCAAAAGUGAAAGACGGUCUUGCUGUCACUUAUAGAUGGAUCCGCGCUGCAUUAGCUAGUUGGUAAGGUAACGGCUUACCAAGGCAACGAUGCAUAGCCGACCUGAGAGGGUGAUCGGCCAAACUGGAACUGAGACACGGUCCAGACUCCUACGGGAGGCAGCAGUAGGGAAUCUUCCGCAAUGGGCGAAAGCCUGACGGAGCAACGCCGCGUGAGUGAUGAAGGUCUUCGGAUCGUAAAACUCUGUUAUUAGGGAAGAACAUAUGUGUAAGUAGCUGUGCACAUCUUGACGGUACCUAAUCAGAAAGCCACGGCUAACUACGUG